rnacentral:rRNA from 1 species
AUGUUGUUGCAGUUAAAAAGCUCGUAGUUGGAUUUCUGGUGGGAGUGGCCGGUCCGCCGUAAGGUGUGUACUUGGUUGUCUCCCGUCAUCCUUGUGGGAACUGCUCUGGCAUUAAGUUGUCGGGGUUAGGGAACACAUCGUUUACUGUGAAAAAAUUAGAGUGUUUAAAGCAGGCUUAUGCCGUUGAAUACAUUAGCAUGGAAUAAUAAGAUAGGACUUUGGCGUCUAUUUUGUUGGUUUGCACACCAAGGUAAUGAUUAAUAGGGAUAGUUGGGGGUAUUCGUAUUUAAUUGUCAGAGGUGAAAUUCUUGGAUUUAUGAAAGACGAACUUCUGCGAAAGCAUUUACCAAAGAUGUUUUCAUUAAUCAAGAACGAAAGUUAGGGGAUCGAAGAUGAUUAGAUACCAUCGUAGUCUUAACCAUAAACUAUGCCGACUAGGGAUUGGCGGUCGUUCAUUUAUGACUCCGUCAGCACCUUAUGAGAAAUCAAAGUCUUUGGGUUCCGGGGGGAGUAUGGUCGCAAGGCUGAAACUUAAAGGAAUUGACGGAAGGGCACCACCAGGAGUGGAGCCUGCGGCUUAAUUUGACUCAACACGGGGAAACUUACCAGGUCCAGACAUAGUAAGGAUUGACAGAUUGAGAGCUCUUUCUUGAUUCUAUGGGUGGUGGUGCAUGGCCGUUCUUAGUUGGUGGAGUGAUUUGUCUGGUU